GUUUUCCCACAAGCCAUCGCGAGGCUGAUGUUCGUUAACUUGCGGAUAUCUAUUGCGACGAGUUGCGUUGCGCUUUUAGGGUUCCGCAGUAGUUUCACGUUAAACGUUGGUACGUCGCCGAGAAACACAAGCCUUUGCCGAAUGAGCCAGCGUCGUAUUUCACCUUUCUUCGGAGGAUUCAUACCGUGCUGUUCAGCGCCGGCUUAGAUUCAGCGAUAUUUCGAAUAUGAUUGUAGGCAAAUACUGUGCAAGUGGGUGUCCCUUGUUUGACUGCCAAAGGCAAAGAAAAAUGGAGUGGCCACUUAAUGAGCGCUUAGGUGUUACGUGACUGAACGAGUGGUGGUAGGCACACCACGCUGUGUGGUGCAUGAUGUGCUUUGUUGGUCUUUUAAGUGGAAAAUAGAUCCCAGCACAGAGGAAUCGAUGUGUGGACAAAAAGAGAAUGCAAUCACCAUGUCAAACUUCGUACAUUCAAGAAAGCUUGAUAUCAGUAAUAAAUAUUUGCCUCUUGACAGGCAGCUGGUACUGAAAGAC